rnacentral:rRNA from 1 species
UACGGGGGGUGCAAGCGUCGCUCGGAAUCACUGGGCGUAAAGCGAGCGCAGGCGGUUGAGAAGGUCGAAUGUGAAAGCCCCAGGCUCAACCUGGGAUGUGCAUUCGAAACCGCUCGACUUGAACACAGAAGGGGAGAGUAGAAUUUGCGGUGUAGAGGUGAAAUUCGUAGAUAUCGUAAGGAACACUCGUGGCGAAGGCGGCUCUCUGGUCUGUUGUUGACGCUCAUGAUCGAAAGCGUGGGGAGCAAACAGG